rnacentral:rRNA from 1 species
AGAGUUUGAUCCUGGCUCAGCCUGAACGCUGGCGGCGUGGCUAAGACAUGCAAGUCGUACGGUGUAGCAAUACACAGUGGCGAACGGGUGAGUAAUGUAUCGCUAACGUGCCCCGGACUCUGGGAUAGCUGCCCGAAAGGGCAGGUAAUACCAGAUGACAUGACCUUGUCGCAUGGCAGGGUCCUCAAAGGUCCGCCGGUCUGGGAGCGGGCGAUAUCGUAUCAGCUAGUUGGCAGGGUAACGGCCUACCAAGGCGACGACGCGUAGCCGGACUGAGAGGUUGGCCGGCCACAUUGGGACUGAGACACUGCCCAGACUCCUACGGGGGGCUGCAGUAACGAAUCUUCCGCAAUGCACGAAAGUGUGACGGAGCGACGCCGCGUGUGGGAUGAAGUCCCUCGGGAUGUAAACCACUGUCAGGGGAAAGAAAGUUCUGAUCUACCCCAGAGGAAGGCACGGCUAACUCUGUGCCAGCAGCCGCGGUAAGACAGAGGUGCCAAGCGUUAGGCGGAAUCACUGGGCUUAAAGCGUGUGUAGGCGGAUGCCUAAGUGCCUUGUGAAAUCCCCCGGCUCAACCGGGGAAUGGCUGGGCAUACUGGGUGUCUUGAGCCGCCUAGGGGCAACUGGAACAAACGGUGGAGCGAAGAAAAUGCGUAGAUAUCGUUUGGAACGCCAAAGGUGAAAACAGGUUGCUGGGGGCGAGCUGACGCUGAGACACGAAAGCCAGGGGAGCAAACGGGAUUAGAUACCCCGGUAGUCCUGGCCGUGAAACGAUGUCCACUAGAUCGCAGCUUCUCUGACGGAGUUGCGGUCGAAGCAAAAGUGCUAAGUGGACCGCCUGGGAAGUACGGUCGCAAGGCUAAAACUCAAAGGAAUUGACGGGGGCUCACACAAGCGGUGGAGCAUGUGGUUCAAUUCGAAGCAACGCGCAGAACCUUACCUGGGCUUGACAUGCUGGGAUUAUCCCCCGUGAAAGCGGGGUAGGCCCUUCGGGGUACAACCAGCACAGGUGCUGCAUGGCUGUCGUCAGCUCGUGUCGUGAGAUGUCGGGUUAAGUCCCUUAACGAGCGAAACCUUUGCCCUUAGUUACCAUCGGGUUAAGCCGGGGACUCUAAGGGGACUGCCGGUGUCAAACCGGAGGAAGGUGGAGAUGACGUCAAGUCCUCAUGGCCUUUAUGCCCAGGGCCACACACGUGCUACAAUGGCGUGGACAGAGCGAACCAACAGCGCAAGCUAGAGGAAAUCGCAAAAACCACGCCCCAGUUCAGAUCGGAGGCUGCAACCCGCCUCCGUGAAGUUGGAAUCGCUAGUAACCGCGGAUCAGCUACGCCGCGGUGAAUGUGUUCCUGAGCCUUGUACACACCGCCCGUCAAGUCAUGGAAGCCGGAAAUAGCCGAAGUCGCCACGAUACGGUGGUGCCUACGCUAGGCUCGGUGACUGGGACUAAGUCGUAACAAGGUA